rnacentral:rRNA from 1 species
UACGUAGGGUGCGAGCGUUGUCCGGAAUUAUUGGGCGUAAAGAGCUUGUAGGCGGUUUGUCGCGUCUGCUGUGAAAUCUCAAGGCUCAACCUUGAGCUUGCAGUGGGUACGGGCAGACUAGAGUGUGGUAGGGGAGACUGGAAUUCCUGGUGUAGCGGUGAAAUGCGCAGAUAUCAGGAGGAACACCCGUGGCGAAAGCGGCUCUCUGGAACGGUACUGACGCUGAGACGCGCAAGCGUGGGGAGCGAACAGG